AAGGCAGCAGGCGCGCAAAUUACCCACUCCCGGCACGGGGAGGUAGUGACGAAAAAUAACGAUACGGGACUCAUCCGAGGCCCCGUAAUCGGAAUGAGUACACUCUAAAACCUUUAACAAGGAUCAAUUGGAGGGCAAGUCUGGUGCCAGCCGCCGCGGUAAUUCCAGCUCCAAUAGCGUAUAUUAAAGUUGUUGCGGUUAAAAAGCUCGUAGUCGAAUCUGUGUCCCGCGCCGCUGGUUCAUCGCUCGCGGUGCCAACUGGCGUGUUCGCGGGACGUCCUGCCGGUGGGCUCACUGAAUUGAUUGCUUCGGCUUUUGUUCGUGGCCCAACUCGUAUCCGUCUCGUGCGGGUGCGAAUCCCAUCGCGGUGCUCUUUACUGAGUGUCGAGGUGGGCCGGCACGUUUACUUUGAACAAAUUAGAGUGCUUAAAGCAGGCCAAUUUUGCCUGAAUAUUGUGUGCAUGGAAUAAUGGAAUAGGACCUCGGUUCUAUUUUGUUGGUUUUCGGAACCCCGAGGUAAUGAUUAAUAGGAACGGAUGGGGGCAUUCGUAUUGCGACGUUAGAGGUGAAAUUCUUGGAUCGUCGCAAGACGGACAGAAGCGAAAGCAUUUGCCAAAAACGUUUUCAUUGAUCAAGAACGAAAGUUAGAGGUUCGAAGGCGAUCAGAUACCGCCCUAGUUCUAACCAUAAACGAUGCCAGCUAGCGAUCCGCCGACGUUCCUCCGAUGACUCGGCGGGCAGCUUCCGGGAAACCAAAGCUUUUGGGUUCCGGGGGAAGUAUGGUUGCAAAGCUGAAACUUAAAGGAAUUGACGGAAGGGCACCACCAGGAGUGGAGCCUGCGGCUUAAUUUGACUCAACACGGGGAACCUCACCAGGCCCAGACACCGGAAGGAUUGACAGAUUGAGAGCUCUUUCUUAAUUCGGUGGGUGGUGGUGCA
rnacentral:rRNA from 1 species